GUGCAGCAGGCGAGAAACCUUUACAAUGCCUGAAAGGGUGAUAAGGGCAUCCUGAGUGCUCCAGCAUUGCUGGGGCUUUUCCGGAGUGUAAAAAAGCUCCGGGAAUAAGUGGUGGGUAAGACGGGUGCCAGCCAUUUACAUGUCUUACAACUAAAACUCUAAGUUUCAAAGGCAUGUAAAACUGGAAGCCGCGGUAAUACCCGCGCCACAAGUGGUGAUCACGGUUAUUGGGUCUAGAGCGUUCGUAGCCGGCCUAAUAAAUUCUUGGUGAAAUCCCCGUGUAAAACAUGGGAAGAGCUAAGAACACUAUUAGGCUAGGGACCAGGAGAGGCUGAGGGUACUCCAAGGGUAGGGGUUAAAUAC
rnacentral:rRNA from 1 species